rnacentral:rRNA from 1 species
UACGGAGGGUGCAAGCGUUGUCCGGAAUCAUUGAGCGUAAAGCGCACGUAGGCGGCUCUUUAAGUCUCUUGGUGAAAGUCCGGGGCUCAACCCCGGAUCUGCCGUGCGGACUGGUUUGCUGGAGCACUGUAGAGGCGAGUGGAAUUCCGGGUGUAGCGGUGGAAUGCGUAGAGAUCCGGAAGAACACCGGUGGCGAAGGCGGCUCGCUGGGCAGUGGCUGACGCUGAGGCGCGACAGCGUGGGGAGCAAACAGG